AAGCAAUCUAAACAUCACAAUUCACAACGUCUCAUGAAUAAUGCAUUAUUUUAUUAAUACUGAAAACAAGAAGAAUACAAAACCAACUCGAACAAUCCAACAAUAUAAUAUCAAGCCAACAUAGUAAAGAAAUCCCAAUGGAUUAAAUCAAUCUAGCUAAUCAUGUUCAUUCUUAAAAUAUACAAGAAUUCAAUUACAACAAUAAGCAAAGGUAGAGAAAACCCGAUUACACCCUCGGAUGAGAGUAAACAGCCCCAAAUCCUUUUGCUCCAAUUGAAUCGAUUCUUGUUCCUCUUGCUCGAUUUGAAAAUCAAUCAACGAACCUAGCCUAAUCUUCGAUCCUUCAAGGAAAUCCGAUUGAAACCUUGAUCCAAGUCUCCUUUUCCCUUGGUCUUAGCUCAGAAAACCCUUAGGGAGAGAAAAAUUAGGGUUUUGGGACGUUCUAACCCUAGCCUCUUCUUUUUCUCUUCUUUUCGUUCUUUUAAUUAAUACCCCCUGUCGCCUCCAACACGGCCGUGUUCCUGGCCGUGUUCUCAACACGGGAUGGUGUUCCUGGACGUGUUACUCUCUGUGGCCGUGCUCCCUAGAAUCUACUUCUUCUUUGAUGUCUAACACGGCCGUGUUUGUCCCCGUGUUGGUAACACGGCCCAUGUUUGUGACCGUGUUGAGAACACGGCCAGUGUUGAGAUCAACACGGCCAUGUUCAGCUUCCUCAUGCUCGUACUUAGCUCGUUUCGGCAGCUUUGACGUCCAAUUAUGCUCCAAUUCUUUCCUU
rnacentral:lncRNA from 1 species